rnacentral:rRNA from 1 species
GAACUUAAGCAUAUCAAUAAGCGGAGGAAAAGAAACUAACAAGGAUUCCCCUAGUAACUGCGAGUGAAGCGGGAAGAGCUCAAAUUUAAAAUCUGGUGUGCCUCUGGUCACCCGAGUUGUAGUCUGGAGAAGUGUUUUCUGUGUUGGACCGUGUAUAAGUCUCUUGGAACAGGGCGUCAUAGAGGGUGAGAAUCCCGUCUUUGACACGGACUACCAAUGCUUUGUGAUGCGCUCUCAAAGAGUCGAGUUGUUUGGGAAUGCAGCUCAAAAUGGGUGGUAAAUUCCAUCUAAAGCUAAAUAUAGGCGAGAGACCGAUAGCGAACAAGUACCGUGAGGGAAAGAUGAAAAGCACUUUGGAAAGAGAGUUAAACAGUACGUGAAAUUGCUGAAAGGGAAACGCUUGAAGUCAGUCAUGUCUGCCAGGACUCAGCCUUGCUUCUGCUUGGUGUACUUUCUGGUUGGAUGGGCCAACAUCAAUUUUGACUGUUGGAGAAAGGCUUUGGGAAUGUGGCACCUUUGGGUGUGUUAUAGCCCUUUGUCGUAUACAACGGUUGGGAUUGAGGAUCGCAGCAUGCCUUUAUGGCCGGGGUUCGCCCACGUACAUGCUUAGGAUGUUGGCAUAAUGGCUUUAAGCGACCCGUCUUGAAACACGGACCAAGGAGUCUAACAUGCCUGCAAGUGUUUGGGUGGAAAACCCAUGCGCGUAAUGAAAGUGAUAGCUGAGAUCCUCUCAUCAGGAGCAUCAGCGCCUGGACUUGAUCUACGGAGACGGUUCUACGGUAGAGCAUGUAUGUUGGGACCCGAAA